GACGAACGCUGGCGGCGUGCUUAACACAUGCAAGUCGAACGAAGUGGCGAACGGGUGAGUAACGCGUAAUCAACCUGCCCUUCAGAGGGGGACAACAGUUGGAAACGACUGCUAAUACCGCAUACAGAAGGAGGGGAUUGCGUAUGAUUAGCUAGUUGGAGGGGUAACGGCCCACCAAGGCGAGGAUCGGUAGCCGGUCCGAGGGUAUGAACGGCCACAUUGGGACUGAGACCCGGCCCAGACUCCUACUGGGUGCAGCAGUGGGGAAUCUUCCGCAAUUGACGAAAGUCUGACGGAGCAACGCCGCGUGAGUGAUGACGGCCUUCGGGUUGUAAAGCUCUGUUAAUCGGGACGCGGUACCGGAAUAGAAAGCCACGGCUAACUACGUGCCAGCAGCCGCGGUAAUAC
rnacentral:rRNA from 1 species